rnacentral:lncRNA from 1 species
AGCGCUCGCCCGGGCGAAGAUUAUUGCAGCGAUCAAUCCAUACAUAGAGCAGUGUGAGUAAGCGACGACCGGAAGGGAGUGGUUGAUAAGACGAUUCUUGCGUUUGGGACACUCUUUACCAGUAGAAUUUGAUCCGUCUACGGCUCUUAUCCAAUACCUCAUAAUGUUCGCUGUAGCUGCUCUGCUCCUGGGAUCCGUCCUCGCAACCACCAACCAGAAUGGAACCGAAAAUGUGAAUCCCAUGGUCGAACUAAUACGAAUGAAUGAAAACAAAACGGAAAGAAUCAUUGCAUUGGAAAGAUAGUGGCAACUCAAAAAAUUCAAAUAGUAAGUAUUUUAAAUAAUUUUCACGGACGCAGUAGAGAAAAAAUAAUAACUUCGGCAUAAUUUUCAUCCCGAAUAGUGCAGCAGAAUAUGAAUUAAACUUUAGAAUUGUCAAAUACACGAUUGAGUCGAGUACUUUUUAUGCAAUGGUUUGGAGUUUGCGUCGAUAAUAAUGGCACGUAUGGGAAUAUACAUCAUACACGAUUGCGCGAAUUAAACGUUCAUGAAGUAGAUUUGCAUUUUAGCAGGAUGAAAUGUUAAGUCCAGUCCACGUUGCCGGUAAAUACCGGUUAAAAGGGUGAAUGUUUGAAUUCAAGCGGAAUAGUUCUUAGCCAAAUUGUGUAGAAAAAUACGAAUUAAAUUGAGGUUGUGCAGGGUGGCCAUUGAACCGUCUGACAAUACUCCAAAAAAUUAAAUUUGGAAUUUAAAUUUACAAAUUUUAAAAAUUAAAAUUUUAGCAGCCCGGCCAGUUGGUGGAAGAAAAUAAACAGUUAAAUUAUUGACGCAACUUGGUAACAUCGCAUCUAAAAUAAUUAGGGUCGGCUGGGUCGGCGAUGUACUGAAGUGUUCAUUAAAAUACUAGGGGCUCUGCCCCCUGACCGCUACGCGGCCCAACCCCGUGGACGGCGCUUGGUGCGCAUACAGGGUGUUAGAAAAGUCCCCUCCCCCAUCUAACUUUUUACCUAAUCGAGAUAGAGAUUUGAAACUUGGAGGAAGUUCCUAGGUCAAAGGGAGCUACUUUUUGGCCCCCUAAAUUUUCGGGGGGCUCCUUUUUGGGGGGUAACGGACCCCAACUUUUUUUCAAAUGGGAAGGCCCUUUUGUGAUACCUCGUUCGAAAGAGCAUAAAAAAGAAAGAGCCUCGCCAAGUUUAGCUCCUUUUUUUGGAUACCCGAGUUG